rnacentral:lncRNA from 1 species
UAUGCUUUGGUGUCGGACUAUCCGAAUUUCUAAUUCAGUGACGAAAGAUUUUUGGAUACAAUCAAGUACUUGUGAUGUCUAAAUGCGAGUGAAGAUGGGAUUGAUCGCUUCAAGUAACAUUAAAGAUGAUGCAUCACUGUGUUUUAAUUUAGCAAAACUUUAACCAAAGUAGUUCUAUUGAGGAGUCACAGGAUUUUUAAGAUUGUGACACAAUAUGGACCAUGAAGGGAAGCGUGGUGGGUGAUGUGCAUGUAUUUUUAAAAAUUUACAGUGGAACAAAUAUAGAUUAAAUAAUUUCAUCUAUAAUGUAUAUAUAGAUCAAAUCUAAAAUCAUCAUACAGGAUCUAUAACAUGAACUAAUAUGCAUGUAUGUACAUCUAAAAUCUAAAAUUCAGCAAGUAUAGAUCAUAUCUAUUUUAUAUUUAGAUCAUAUCUAAAUAUUAAUUGAAUUCAAAACUUCAUACUCGAGUGUGGGUAGCAGAUCACCGCAUCCGAAAUUCAUAGUACUUGAUUCUUCAUGAUACUUGGUAGCCGCACAUGUGUCUGGUCUCUACGGAUAUCCACACGAAGCCCUUGUGCUGAUUGAUCUUCUCGGGAGUGCUAGCUCGCGAAGACAUCAUCCUUUGGCUGAUCUAAGAAGAAUAUGAUGAAGAUGAAGAAUAAGGAGAUCCUCUCCUUUUCUUCUUGGAUCCAUGCAUCUGAUCUCUACAAUAGAGAUCAAGAGAAGAAUCAUUUUUUCUCAAUUUUUUCGUGCAUAAGAGAGAAUCUUUCUCUCUUCCUUUUACGCCUUUAAAAAUUUUUUUUUUCUAAUUUUUUAUGAUAAAAAUUAGAUCUAAUCUGAUUUUUCAUGCUGAAAAUCAUAGGAGAUCUUGAGCCCUAGAAGAAUCCAAAGGAGAGACCCAAGAGAACAACCGUUCUUCUCUCUUCUUCUCCCUUUUUCUCUUUGAUCUAAAACUCCAGGAAGCCCCUUAUGCCCAACCAAAUUUUUUUGAUAUUUUUUCUCUAAAUUCUCAUAUUAAAAAUUAAAUCAAAUCUGAUUUUCAUCUUGAAAAAAAAUAGAAGAAAAAUCUGAAAAAAGAACUCAUUCUUCAAGGCUGCGCACAAGAAAGAAGACCCUUCUUCUUUUUUGAUUUAGAACUCUAGGGA